AAUUCUUAAUUUUUUUUAAAUAUUUAUUUUCGAAGUAAAAGAAUUAUAGAUUUU
rnacentral:tRNA from 1 species